rnacentral:lncRNA from 1 species
UGGUCUAUUGCUUACGGACGGAAAAGUGCAGCAGCAUCUCAUGGGGUUUUGAUCCCCACACAUGGACUGGGGCAAGCCACCAUGGUAUGGAGGUAAUUGAUAGUGGUUUGACGCACCGAAACUGGGGACAGGGGCCUGUGUGGGUCUCCAUAUGGUAUCAGUGGUGCUGAGUGUGGAAGAUAUGCUCACACUGCUACUUUGUUUGUGAUCUCCAUCAUCUUCCAGGCACUCUGAGACCCAACUAAUGAUGUCUGGUUGGUCUGUAACAAAGCAUGAAUCUAGUACUCGGGCAUCAGAUGUAGAGCCAAGUGCAGAGCAUGAAUCUUG